UCAAUUUCAAAGAAGAAAGGGGGAAGAAGGAUAAAUCGAAGCAAAACAGAAUAAAAAAGAAGGAAAAAAAGGGGGGUUCUCGAUAGGGGCUUAUGUUUUUCGGUUCUCCCGACUCCGACGAAGUCUUACGCUCUGGAUCCAAAUCCGGUCACUUCAACUCCGACCGAGAAAGGGGUAGCACACCGCCGCCGCGCAGGAGCUGCGCACGCCGAUGGGCACCGCGACCAGAGUUAUGCACUCCAGAUAUUUCGUCUUCUGCAGUUCAAUUUUCUCUGAUUUAGGGCAGAGGAAGGUCCCUGUGAGGCAUCAUCUUGAGAGAACAGCACCCUCCGGCCUCUCGGCCAUUACCAGAAUAUUGAGGCUCCGUAGCCCGUCGGAACCACGCCGAGAAGUGGUUCCCUAAUUUGAUAGGGAAGAUUUCCACCUUAAUGGCUUUUCUCGAUCUUUUUCUCGCUGAAAAUAGUUUUCCAAUUUCGUUUGCUUAAAGUCUCUACUAAUUUUGUGCAAUUUCUUAUGGCUUAGCUCGGGAAUAUGAAGUAUCGAGCGAUGCUUGAUUUCUCAAAGGAACUGUUUAUUGAAGGGGUGAUUCGAAGCUGUCGAAAAUUCUGUCCAAGACGCCGCUUAUGUGAGGAAAUAUAGCUCUGGAUUCAAAUCCCUCUUAUCUCCGGCUUCGGCGAACAGCUGCACCACCAGAACCCUGCACCGAAUCUCUCAUCGCCGGGAAGAAACCAGACCAAGUCCAGCGCAGGUUUCGAUCGAGACCGCCUCCUGCUUCCACGACUUCAACAUUCGAUAAUCAUCUUCUCCAAGCCGAUUUUGCCCAAUUUAGGGCUGAGGAGGGCCCUGUCUAUGUUCCGGCCUCGGCCGCAGGACAACCGCACAGACCAUCCGCAGUUUCUCAGCCGCGGGUCCGGCGAGGCCGGCGACCUGCCUCUCCGGCGUCGUCUCUCUUUUUGAGACGUAGCUCAGUCAAACCAGCUCGCUUCGCUGCAAACCACCGAAGCGCGGCGCUGUUGCGCACGUCGCCGGCAGCCAGGGUAACUCUGGUUGUUUGGGGUUUUCGGGCUGAAGGGUGAAUCCCCCCAGCUGUGAGCUCCCUUUACUUUGCUCUUAAUCUCAAAUGUGGAUGGAGCCUUGUGCUUGUGCUAGCGUUACAUGGCUGUUUGCAGUGCAGAAGAGGGACUGAUGCCCACUGGAAUCACUCCGGCGAGAGAUCUUAUGACUUUAAGAGGGAGGAUUUCUAUUUAUUAGAGUUUUUCUCAAUUAGUUUCAUGUUAAGCUUAGCCAUUGUUGGACUUAUCUUAUUUUUGUUUGCUUAAUUUUUGCCUCGAGGCUCAGGGAGAGAUUGUGCAGCUUGUUGUUGUCCCCAACUGAGAUCAUUUAUAGAGCAGCAACAACCCGCGCCUCAGGCGAUUGCCGGAUUUGACAUCGGCAAUCUAGCCCGCCACUAAAUUGGUCAUCGUCAUCGUGCUCUAGCACCGGAGUUCGUCCCAUCUUGCACCGGGCUUUGGAGCCCCUAAUUUUGUCGUUAAACUGACCCGAGUCGAUGAUCCCAAAGCUUACCUUUGUGCUCUAGUCGCCGAUUAUCGCACCCUCGGCUCUGGAGAUUGCUCGCUGCCGGCCACGAAUCGCCGCUUCUUUGCAACCAGGGAAUUACAGCCCGCUUCUUGCCGAGCAUCGAAGAACUCCUCAGCAGGGCACCAGCGAAGGGAACUUUGGCACCCUCCCCUGCGCGAUUGAGGAGAAGCUCCAGCGCAGCUUUUAGCAUCUGAAUUUCGGCGCAGCUCCGGGGAAAAGCUCUUUUCCUUUUUUCUCUCUUUUAACUUUUAUUCCUGCUGCUGAUUUCUUUCACCAGGAUUUGGUUAAUCUCUGGCCGUAGAGGCAGAUUUUCGCUGGGUCUAUUGCUCAAUUCAGCAUUACUAAUGUUUCUUUGAUAAUUAUUGCUAAUAUUUUUCUUUUGGAAUUUGUAUUUGAGGGUGGGAAUCUGAACAACAGAGCAUGAAGCUGGUACUGUAAGACGUAUGUAAUUCUUCCUCCAAAGGGGUCCAACAAGCCGUCGGGAUCCGAGAUUGUAAAUUUGGGAAUCACGAAAACAGAGCCCUGAAGGACAACGAGUUUAGACAUUCUGAGAUUAAUUUAUAGCUAAGUUACAGUUUCUCAAUUUGCUUUGAUGCUAUGUUUAAUGUUUAUUGUUUGUGG
rnacentral:lncRNA from 1 species